GAAAGAGAGGAAAAGGAUAAGCAUUAGGCUUGAUUUUAACAUGAUAUUCUUUCAAUUUAACUUUUAUUUGCUGAUUCAAACUUGUCAUUCAAAAACAUUAAGAUAACAAUUUAACUGAUGGUUAUGAACCAUAGCAUGUAUCGUACGUAAACAAACAUUUCACAAUAAAACAUAUGGGAUUAAAUAAGAUUACCACAAUAUUACGAUAAAUACAAUACAAAACAAAUUCGUGAACAAAUCUAAGGUACAAACCAUAAAGUUUAUUGUUAUUAUUGUUCAAGCAAUUGUGCAAUAAAAUGUGUAGUAUCCUUUUGUUCUACCUUCCGUUAGGUUCUCAGCGAUACCACUGAAGGAUACCUCAUGAUAUCCCAGCCAAGCUGCAAGGGUCAAAUAUACCUGCAAAAGAGUCUCUUUUUGUUCUUUUUUCCGUCAAGUUCUCAACAAAUCACUCAUGAAGCCCUUGGCAAAAAUCCCGCGUUAUCGUUUCAGGCCACCUCAGGAUAUUCCCGCAAGGAUGCUAUAUACAGGGGAUGGCCAUAAUGUUUGGGAUAGGCAACUUGUUUUUCUCUCACAAAAAAGUUCAACAAGCUAUAACUUUUCAUAGAGCGCAUCAAAAAAUCUCAAAUUUUGACUGUUUGUCAACCUAUUAUAUGUGCAUCAUUGGUACAAAUUUGGGCUCGAUUGAAUAAUAUUUCGCAACGUUAAAACCGUUCGCGUAAAACACUAUUUUUCAGACAACUCAUUUUUGAGGUGUCAUAUCUCGGAAACCAGUGAACCAAAUUGAAUGAAAUUUUGAACGUACACUAACAAUAUGCAAAUGCUUCACAAACUAUUAAAACAUAGGUGCUUUUUAAACGUUGAUAAAAGUUAUCAUAGGUUGACACAUUUUGGAUUUUUCUCGAAAAAAUGUAUUUUUUUUACAUCAAUGUCAAUAAAUUUUAGUGUUGAUAUCCAAAGAUUUUCCACUUCUGUUCUCAAGUUAUCUCUAAUCAGAUAUAUUAGAGCCUAUUUUGAUUGAAGGAAGAACGCAUUUAGUAAUUUUUGUGUGGUAUUGUAAAUUUGACUUAUUUUCCUAUAUAUGGGUAAAAAUUUCGAUCCGGUAUAACUUAAUUCGCCGCGAGAAAAUAUUACAUUUUAUAACGUCGUAUUAAGUAUCAAUAUAUUGUUGAUAAACGUUAAAAAAUUCAUUCAAUUCGGUUCACUGGUUUCCGAGAUAUGACAGCUCAAAAAUUAGUUGUCUAAAUAAUAGUGUUUUACCCGAUCGGUUCUAACUUCAUGAAAAAUCAAUCAAUCGAGCCCAAAUUUGUACUAAUGAUGCACAUAUAAUAGGUUGACAAACAGUCAAAAUUUGAGAUUUUUUGAUGCACUCUAUAAAAAGUUACAGCAUGUUGAAUUUUUUUGUGAGAGAAAAAAAGUUGCCUAUCCCAAACAUUUUGGCCAUCCCCUGUAGAUCCGCAACGGAUUUCCAACAUUUUUAUUGAAGGAUGUGUCCCUUGGUGGAUUUUUCUUCAUGAUACUUAACCGGUCAAAUUUAGGAUUUGUCACGGAUUUCUGCUUAUAAUGUUGCAAGGUUAAGCUGUAACACAUAAAAAAUGAAAAUGUUUCAUCAAGUACAUAUUGAGAUAUAAUGUUUUAAAAAUGUGCUCGAAAAUCUUAAAAGCUCUAUAACAUUCAGAAAACUUAUUCGAUCUCGCUCAAAAUUUUACCAAUGGAGCUUUAGUAAUAUGGGUUAUAAUUGGUCAAAAUUCCAGCGUUUAUGAUUGACGUAUAAAAAAGUUACUAAGUUUGAAUGAAAAAUUAUUUUGACCAAAAAAUUACUGUACGGGCAAUUGUUUGAUACACUGUACAUAACAACCCCCAUUUUCCAUUGUAGAAGUGACAUUUACAAUACAUGUUAUGGUGAAAAACCAUAGGGUCUGUUGUUAAUAUAUCGUUUUAAACAAUUGAUUUAAAGGAAAAUACCAUUCAUUUCAGCGUGUUGUAAUAAUACAUUCUGUUGUAUCUCUAUGAUCUUUUUUUAUCAGGGUAAUUUCUUCGGCAGUAUUUUUAAAAAUCUUACAACAUUUCCUUCCUUAGUCCAAUUUCCCGCAGCAAUUUCUUUGAGAAUUCAUAAGACAAUUGCUCUGUGGAAAUCUUCAGAAAAUAAUUUGAAAUUUGUUCGUCAAUUCCUAUGAGUUUUUUCGGAAACAUAUUUUUUCGAAAAUUUCAUUUAAAAUUCCUUCGGUCUUUUGAAAAUUCUGUUGGUCUCGUAAAAGUGAAGAUGAUCACGUUUCAGAGACAUAACUGAAGAAGUCCAGUUUUUUUCAAAUAGUUGCCGAUUUCAUCAUAAUAAAUUCUGUGAUGGUCGAUUUUAUCACUCAACCAGGUAGAUACCUUUCACACUAAUGAUUUUAAUAUAGUAAUACCAUUGAAAUUACACCAGCUAUUCAUUGGACAAUUGUGUAGAUCUCUGUUUUUUGGAAUUCCUUUUGUAAUGACUUUAGGAAUUUCCAUUUUAUUUUUUUAUAGGUUAUUGAAAAUUUUCUUGUAAACAUGCUUCGGCAAUGCCUUUGGGCUUUUCAUCGGCAAUUUAUUUGAGAAUUACUUCAGCAAUCCUUUUGUAAAUGCCUCCGGUAAUUGCUUUUAAAUUUUGUUUUGAUGAUUUCUUGGAGUACUUUUUUGACAACUCUUGGAAAUUUAUUGGACCAUUCAUUUGUAAACUAUUCAGGCAUUUAUGUUAAAGAUUCUUUCCACAAUUCCUCGUGAAUUUCGUUGGCCAUUUUUCUUGAAAUUUUGCAGACAUGCUUUGGCAACUAAUCCCCAAUCGAAAUUGCUGAAGAGCUGUUGCCAUAUUAUUGUCUGUUGCGUUAUUGUCUGUAAUACCAGAAGAUGGUGGCUCCGAAGAGGAUGAUUUGCUUGUGAAACCAAGCGCGUCAUAUGUAGUUUGUGGAACUGGCCAAGUUAAUUUGGCAAUUCCUGUGGGGUUGUCUCAUGUUUUUUGUUCUGUAUUUUUUCAGCUAUUGCUUUGAGAAUUGUUACGGCAGUUUCUUUGGAAAUGGAUUCGGCAGUUUCUUUUUGAUAUUCCUGUAUUUCUGUACAUUUGUAUUUCAAACGAUGCCCAAUUCAGAUAACUGGUUUUCACGUAAAUUUAGCUUUUCGCUCUACUUCUAGUAAUAUUGACGUUACCUGAUUUCAGCUUUUUUUCUGACAUUCGCAUGUAGUAGGCUGCUAUAGAUAUACAUACAUUCUAUUCGCCAGAUAAGUGUUCGAGGAACUUCAGAACUCGAAUCAAGAUAGUCAAGUCGACCUUUAUUUCACACAAAGUCCAAAUCCAAUUACUUUUUACUGAGAUAGAUUUCUGUUUUGUUUUUAUUAACGUGUAUUUUAACUAUUCUACACUUAAACUGUAGCAUGUGUUGUUCUAAGUUCUAUUGACAUUAACCCAAUUGCCCUUCUUUUCUGACAUUCUGACACUACUGAUUGGACCAUAAGUUCGGCUAUUUAACCGAGUGAUUUGCAUGUUACGACCUCCUCCAUAUGUAGCGCUUGGUUUCACAAGCAAACCAUCCUCUUCGGAGUCACCAUCUUCUGUCACGUAUAUAUUUGCAGAGACCUCAUCCUCUUCGGAGCCACCAUCCUCUGAUAAUACAGACAAUAGCGCAACAGAUAAUUAUAUGGCAACAGUUCUUCUCAAGAUACCACCUGCAGUAGAAACGUUUGAUGUUUGAGAAUAUGUGAGUAUUACACGAUCUUCCACCCAUGAAUUCCUGAUCUUUUCAUCAGCUAUGACAGCCAACUCACUCACACUGAUCGAACGAACAUUUUAAAUCUACUUUGUGUGUAAACGUACUUCCAAGCGCCUCACUAAUGUUAAAAUAAAUUUAGCUUCUCCAACUCUGCUUCUAUUUAUAUUGACAUUACUGGUUUUUCCUUUUUUGUGAUAUUCGCUUAGACAGUACUCAGGAAGUAAGUUGUUAGAUAUACAAUUCGUUCUUCAGAUUUGGGGAUGUUGCAAGAGCUUGAGAACACGAUUCUAGAUAUUCGAGUCCGGCCUUUAUUUCAAAGGAUGUUCAAAUCUAACUACUUUUCCCCGCAAUAUAGCUACUAGUUCUACUUCUUGUUUUAAGUUCUAUUGGCAUUAACGUAUUUCCCCUUUUUUUCUGAUAUUGGCUUGGAUACUACUCAUUACCAUAUGUAUGGCUCUUUAGCCGAGGGAUUUGCAAGUUAUGAUCUCUUUCGUAUGUCGCGCUUGGUUUCGCAAGCACAUCAUCCUCUUUGAAGCCACCAUCUUCUGUCGCGAUUGGAUUCACAAGCACCUGAUCCUCUUCGGAGCCACCAUCCUGUGUAUGCUAUAUACAGAAACGCCAAUAGGUCUUCUCAAGACAGCACCUGAUCUUCGUCUGCCGUUUGGAGAUAGACGAAUGUAAUUUGUGGUGAGAUGAUCAUCAUUUCGGCCACGGCGAAUAAAGUUUCCUGUGAUUCAUCGUCCAGUUUGUUAUCGACGGUAUUUGGAGCUACCUUGAUGGACUUUACCAUUCGUUCCCAACAACCUCCCAUAUGUGGGGCCGAGAGAGGGUAGAAUCUUCACUGUGUCUAGGUGUAUGUAAACGUACUGCCAAGCACGUUUGUUAACCUUACUCUAGGUAAAGGAGCCAAGACUUGUAGACUUUGAUAAGUCCGCCGCGUAGAACCUUUGACGACUCUGGUUCAACAUAGUUUCGUCGUUGACGCGUCGAUACCUUUGAUAAAACCAGUCCGGUAAAAGCAUCCAUAACAUGGUGUUCUCGAGGCACUACAAAUGGAUAUCUUGCCUCGAAAGGUAAAAGUUCUGCAGCGUCAUACCGUCCAUCGACACGUAGUACUCCUUGAUUGUCUAUCAUCGGUGGUAAUUUUAAGGACAUACUUGUUAGAAUCCCAAAAUGGCUGCCACAAUGGCUGCCACAAUGGCUGACUUUGACACCUACUCACGAUUUCGAGUGCACAAAUCUCUUCGUAAAGAAAAUCAGCGCACCUGAUUUUUUUAUUUGAAGCUUAUUACAAGUGAGCAAGAACAGAAUAAUAAAAUGCACUGUUGUUUGAAGCUUGAUUCAUCAGAUUUGUGCGUCUGAAAUUCUGAUGCACUGUGGAAGUGGGAUUUCAAGACGUUUGUCCUUAAUGGAACUCCUUAAUACUUUUUUCUUUGUUUCCAGUUGUUUGUUGUAUUUCACCAUGGCUACUUCAUCAGAAGGCUUUUCAAUUGCACCAGAAUUUAUAGCGAUUGUUCCGCUUUUUGCAGCCUUUGCCGGCACAAUUCCUUUCGAAUUUACGAGGACCACCUCGAGCAUUACGUAGAUUACUGAAUUACUGUAUCAAGUACACAAGACACCUCGUCAGGCGCUUAAAUUUGAAAAAAAAAACGUUCGAUUCUCAUCGUUGGUAUAACGAUGAAGUGUGGAUAGACAUAUGUCUCUCAGCUCCUUAUUAGUUCUCUCCACGUGUUCCUCCAAAUAGCCACCAACUCGUUUGUAGCAUUAUGCAGAUUCCCGUAGCUCUCGGGAUUAGUCGAAGGCCAUUUUUUUCACUGCGUUACUUCAUGAGCUACAUUUUGUUGUUUUUUUUUUUGAUCGAUCUCCAUUCUACCACGGACGAUAAACUCAGAAUAACGUUCAUUCUGAAUACUACAAAAUGCCUAUAGCGUAAUUAUAUCCACGCAACGACAGUUGCAGAAUCAUUCCAGAGGAAUGUACGAGGGAACUGUACCGAGUGAUACUCUUUGAUGACCUUUCUCAGCCUAUCAUCGUUCCAAUCGAGGUAUUGAGAAGGAUUACAGUGGACCAACUUCGUAUUCGAUGCCUACGCCAUUUAUGGAUUAUCGCCGCUGCGUGUUAUAUAUUUGAGGUAAGGUAAGUUCUGUUGGGACAUAAGUUUCAGGAAAACAUCCUAGGUCUCGUGAUUGUGGGUACAAUUGAUCACUUUACAAGAUUUUUUUUUUUUGAAUAGUUGUCGAUAUAAUCAAAAUAAAUGCUGUGAUGGUGGAUUUAACCAGUCAUCGUUUAUGGAAAAUUUUAUGACGAAAAUGGGUUUGGAGUUGGAGAUCGCUUGAGAGCUACCCAAAUAGUAAUGAUAGCUAAAGAACAGCUUAUUAACCCUUAAAAGCCCUAGACGAACCACUUUUUUUCAAUCGGCUACUACUCAAAGACUAUACAAUCAAAAAAUUUGAAACCAAUUUUAAAUUGAAUGCGGUUAGUUGGUCUUCCAAUAUCUGGGUGUGGCAUCCCCCCUGACCCCUCCCCCCUUUGUGGGUAUUGAGAAAUGCCUUGCCACGGGGGUAUUUUUCGGCAGUUUUAUUGAAUACAGUGGGGACCCGAUUUUGUCAGCCCCCGAUUUUGUCUACCCCCGAUUUAGUCUACCCCCGAUUUUGUCAGCUUUUUGACCCGAUUUUGUCAGCCUUUUCAGAAGCAGAAAAAUAAGAGUGAUUUUCACUCAGUGGUUUCUCUAUAUAAUCAAUAAUAAUUUAGUUGAUGUCUUUAGGCGUCAUAUAAAAAUUACACAAUGAAAAAAUCUCGUGUAACUUUUGAAAAUGGCCAAACUAUUUUGCAAACUAACACAUUUUGCCAUUUUAGUGCCCAACCCUAGCCAAUGUUUUAAACCAAUGUCUUUUAAAAUUGCUGGAAGAGUUUCGCUCUCUUUCGUCUUGGCGUUACUUUCCAACUGGGACACAGCCUGCUCCUCAGCUUGGUGUUUUAUAAGAACUAUCACAAUUAAUAUGAGAUCCCCGCUGUCAAUUGCUAUUUUGCAUAUUGUAUAUCGUGUGGUAGCCAUGAAGAUAUUUUAAGGUAGUUAAGGAAAUUUAAUUAUAAAACGAUUCUGGGCCAACCUGGAAUGGAACUUGCCACCCUCAGCAUAGUUUUGCUGAUUGCUCGUGCGCUUACCACAUCGGCUAUAUGAGCUCAAAGACUAUUCUUUUUAAUUUCCUCUGAAACAGAACAAACAAAAAAGGCUUGUGAUUACAAGUCUACCAAUUAACUUUUUCUUUCCGGCAUCUCUUGAAUUCCUCCAGGUUUAUUUGUUUGGAUUGCUCCAGAAAUUUGUUAUUAGAUUUAUGUUGCAGAUUUCCUGUUUGGAUUGCUCCAAAAAAUGCUGUCGGAAUUCUUCCAGAAGUUUAUCCAUUGGAAACCUUGAAGGAAUUCGAGGUGGGAUUCCUCCGGAAGUUUUUGCUGCGAUACCUUUCUAGAAUGUUUGCUUCGUUUCUUGUAGGUAUUUUUGCUGUUGUUUCUCUAGGAAGUUCGCCGAAAGUUGUUCCAGGAUUUUUUUCGGGGAUUCAGGUAUUUCUCUUUAAGAUUUUUCCAGGCAUUUCCUCCAGAAGCUUUCUUGAGAGUCGUUCAGGAACUCCUGCUAGGAUUCCUCCAUAAGCUCUUGCUGCUAAUCCUGACUUUUCCAAAAAUUUCUACAUGAAAUCCUACAGCGAUGUGUUCAGAGAUUUCUUUAGAUAUUUCUGCAGUAAUUUCUAUUAAUGGCACACAUUUUCCAAAUGGAGAAGAACGUCCCCCUGGAGCCGACCUACAGAUUUCCUAGGGACUUUUUCAAGAAUUUUUCUUAGGAUUCCUUCAGGAAUUUUUCUAGGAAUAUCUUAACAUUUCAGGACGCGCGCCAGCAAGCAACCAAAACUGCACCGUUCUCGCGCUGUAUACGACGAACGAGGUUUUUUGGUUAAGUUGUACUUUUUACAACAGCGCGCGUCCCGAAGGGUUAAAAUGUUCCUCUUGUAAUGCCUUCAGUGAGUCAUACAGGAAUUCCUUUAGAGGUUUCACUACGAUUCCUCUAUCAGAUUUCAUAAUUGGGCAUCAUCUAUGGAUUUCACGGGGUUCCUCUUUGGAUUUAUCCAAGGUUGAAUCUUGGUAUUCCUAUACGAAAUUCCUUUAAAAAAUAUUAUUAGAAAUUCUCCUGGAAUUCAUGAUGGAAUUUAUCAAUCCAUUUCUGCUGUGAUUCCUCCUUGAACUGCUCCAGAUAUGUCUCCAGUACUUUUUUCAGGAAUUCGUCCAGGGAUUUCUAAAAUAAUGUCAUCUGAUAUCUAUAGAUUUUUUCGAAGAUUGAAAUAGGGAUUCUUUCAAUGGUUUUUCUAGGGAUUGCAACGGAGAUUGUAGUAAGGAUUCUUUCAGAAAUUAAUUAACCCUUAUGUGGCCGGCAGGGUACCCGGGUACCCAGCACCCAUUUAAAAUACACGGUGUAGAAAAAAGCAAAAAGUUUGCCGGCCACAUAACGGUUAAGGGACUUAUCCGGAGCUCCUGUAAUGUUUUUUGCAGAAACUACUUCCUCGGGUAAUUUCUCCAGAAAGUCCUCCAUUUUUUUUUCCAAAGAUUUCUCCAGAGAUUUUUUAGAGAUUAGGCUCUGAAAAUUAAAGUAGAAAGGCAGCGGAAACGUAGCCAAUUCAGACAGUAUGAGUGUCUUUACUUGUCAAUCAGACGUUGGUUCCUUUUCAUUCGUUGACAGCUAAAAUUAGAAGUUCUGUUCGCUAACCAGUUCUGCUUCCACUGGGUCUAUUGUAGACCACAAUUGCUGGGAGAAGGCUGUGUCCCAGUAGGGAUGCUAUGACAAGUAGUAUAAGAAGUAAAAGAUUUAAUAGUUCUGCUGUCAAAUGCAAAAAAGAUCUUUAUGUCAAAGCACUGAAUGUUAACUUGAAAAUCCCAUUUUUUUUUCUUUGUCCUUAACACCCAUUCGAUUUUUUGCCACAAAAGGUUUGUGUAAAUAUUACGUAACGCAACAUUUGGCAAUUUCAGAUCCCUUCCCUUCCUCUCGUAACUAUGUUUGUAAGAGAAAUUUUGAAAUUUGAUAUGAAGAGUUAAACACCGCUGGACCCCCUCCCUCCAUUAGCGUUACGUAAUAUUUGAACGAACCCAAAACAGACCCUCCCCACCUAUCUCCGUAGCCCCUCUAUCACUGGAAAGCUCAGAUCAAUUUUUCAUGAAUAAAAAAAUGAUUUUAAAAAAUGUCCCGAUUUUGUCAGGUACCCGAUUUUGUCAGCCCAAAAUGCUACCAGGGGCUGACAAAAUCGGGUCCUUACUGUAUCACACAUAUUAUCAUUCUGAAAUUUGUAUUGUAAAAUGUAUUUGGCCAUAAAAUGAUCGCUCUGUGCUAUGUGCAUGCCACCGCUACGGAACCAGUUCCGGACGUUCAGGUUUCCGGACAUAAUCUCCGGAGGAACCUGCUACAUACUGUUUACUAAGGUUCGCAUUCAUAAUCUUUUUUUGCGGCUUCAAAUAUUGAAUUUAGAGGUAUGAUGUCUUAGAAGAGUUUGUUCUAUAUACUUAAUUCUUUAUUUUAAAAUUUUCACCUAGAUGAUUAAUCCACCUAAAAGUGCGAUAGGAAUUCACUUUUCUCAAAACUAAAGAUAGAGUAUUGGUAUCUUCUACAAAGUUGCAGAAAAGGGUAUUAUUGGAAAGUUUGCCGAACAAACUAUUACCUCAUUUGCUCAACUUUAAGAGUUAUGUGUCAUUGUUUGUGGACGACCCCUUGUAAUAGGUUUUCGGAUAUAACUUUUUCUAUGGAUUUUUAGGAUUUUUCGAGUGUUCUACAAAGUUGUUCUUUGUGAUGGAAUACAUCUCAUUCUGCUUUUUUCUUCGUACUGGAUUAACGCUCCAAGUAGUACAGCGCCUGCAUCUCAACUUCAAAAUUUCAAAAAGACUCUAUGGAGUUUUUGGUGAAAUUCUCUUUAUUUUUUUUUUAUUUUUUAAUAAUUAUAAUACUCCUCUAAAAAUUAUUACUGUAAACUCUCAUGCAAUUACAGCUUAGAUUCCUACGUACAAAAAAAAAAAUGCUGUGAUUUUUCUAGACAUUUUUGUUUUUUUUCCUGCUGUGAUUCUUUCAGUGAUUUCUACGAGGAUCCCUAAAGAAAAUUUUCUUAGUAUUUAUCCAUUAGUGCAUGUCGGAAAUCCACUUGAAAUUUCUUCAGAAACUUUGUUGGCAUUAAUUCAAUAAUUUCCUAAAGAAUCCACCAGGAAGUCUUGUUGAGGAAUUCCAACCAAUUCCUGCUGGUAAUGUACCAGGAAUUCUCGGUGGACUCCUAAGAGCAAUUACUGAAGAAAUCUCAACUGAUAUUGUUUGAGAAAUUCCAGCAAGAAUUCCUGAAAAAAUUAGUAGAAAUAUCUGAAGGAAUCCUAGCAAGAAUUUCAGGUGAUGUUGCUAGGGAAAUUCCUAAAGGUAUCCUUGAAAAAUCUCUGGAGAAAUCAGAAAUGGAAUUCCUAUAGGAACCCUUGGAGGAAUUACAUGCAGCAAAUGUAAAGGAAUCUUUGGAGAAACCUCUGGGGCAAUCUCAGCAAGAAUUUCGAGAGAAAUCCUAUAAUUAAUUUGUGGAGGAAUUACAAGAAGAUUUCUGAAAAUACUUUUUCUUGGAUUCCUCCAAAAGUUUCUCUUUACAUUUUUCUGAGAAUUUCUCCAAGAAUUCCUUCAGGACCUCAUUUACGAAAAAAAACUCUAGAAUGCCCAGUCCACAGGAAUUACAAAAGUUCCUUUUGUGAUUUUUACAGGUUUUUUUUAAACAUUCCUCUACUAAUUUCACUUCAAAUUUCCCCAAAAUGCCUGCUUGGUUAAAACCACGAAUUCCUCAAGUUGUUCAUCUAGUAAUACCUCUUGGAAUUUAUCAAAGAAUUCUUCUGGGAUUACCUCUAGACAUUCUUGUUGGGAUUUAUUGAAUUAUUAUUGAUUGGAUUCAUCCACUAACUACUACUGUAACUUCUCUUCUGUAACAUGCUUCAGAGUUUCUCUUGCGCUUCUUGUAAGAAUGUAUCAAGGGAUUGUUUCAGGAAUAAUUUCUCUUCGUUUUCUUAUUGGAAAUCUCCUUCAGAUUCCUUUGAGAAAUUAAGUUGAAAUUGAUUCAGAUUUUUCGAGAAAUUCGUGGUGGGAAACCUCUUGGAAGUCUUGCUGGGAUUCCUCAAGCCAUUAAUGACAGAAUUUAUUCAGCAAUUCCUGGAGGAUUCUUAAAAGCAUUUACAGCAAAAAUACCAUCUGGAAAUGCUUGUGAAAUCCCAGCAGAAAUGCUUGGAGAAAUCCUGGUAGGAGUUCCUGAAGGAAUCACAGCAAGAAUUCAUAGAAAUAUUCCGGGAGGAUUUGAAUAAACUGUAGAAUUUUUCUUAAAGAGACAUUCCUUGCCGAAGGAAGAAUCCCGGCAGAAACUUCUAGCACAAUCUCAUCAGGCAUUCCUGGAGGAAUUCUAAGAAGAUUUCUCAAAAGAUUUCUCCAGCAAUUUUUGUAAGGAUGACUGCUGGGAUUCCUCUGAAGAUCCCUCCUGAAUUUCUUCUUGAAAUUCUUCUCCAAGGAUACCUCUAGGAAUUCCUCUUGCAAUACAUUCAGUAAACAACAGGGAUUCCAAAAAUACCUUCUGGAAUUUCUUAGGGAAUUCUUGCUGAGAUUUCCUUGGAAUAUCUCCAAUAAAUAUAAAUAUUGCUCUUUAUCGUCCUGCAGGAAUUACUAGAGGAUUCUCUGCAGAUAUUGCAUUGGAUUCCCAGAAAAAAAAUCAGAAGGGUACCUACCUGAAAUGUCUAGAAAAAUCCCAGUAGAAGUCCUGAAGCAAUUCCAGCAGUAGUUCAUAAUAUAUUCUCAAGAGGAUUCCCAGUAGGAAUUACUUAUUUCUGGAGAAAUCCAUGAAUAAAUUACAGCAGGAAUUACUGGAGGAGUCCCAGCAAGAAAUUCAUCUUGGUAAUGCAAGAAGAAUUGAGGAGUCCAGGUGCAAAGGGGUGUAAGUGACCAUUUUGUCGAUUUUGAGCUAAGCAUAUCAAGAAAUUCUUAUCAUUUUAAGAUUUUAUGAACUUUUUCAAGAUUAUAUUUACGAUGAAAUACAGUGAAUCGGAGAAAAUUGGGUACAUUUUGAAACCUUAUACAUUUUGCAUGGGAGGAAAAAUUAAUGGAAAACUUUAUUUACUCAAAUCUCAUUUACUCGAAAGUAUAUGUUUGUCACUUUCACCCGUUUGCUUCUAAUUCCUUUCAAUUCUUGUGUGAGUUUAUGCAGAAAUUUUUGGAAGAAUAUCAAGAGCAAUUGCUGGAAGAAUUCUUGGUCAAAACCUCUGAAAGAAGCAUAGGAGGAAUUUUUGGGAGAGUCCAUGGAGAAAUCCCUUCAAAUGUCGCAAUGAGAAUUCCUGCAGGAAUCCCAGCGGACAUAUUCCUUCUGUGAUACCUUCAAGGACUCCUCCAGAGAUUUCUCCAAGGUAUUCUAUAGAAAUUAUGUUUGCGAUUCAUUUAUAGAUUUCUUCAUGGAUUCCUUAAGAUUUUUUUUCUAAGAGUACCUACCAGCAGAAACUCUAACUAGAAUUUCUCCAGGAAUGUUUCCAGCAUCACUUCUGGAGAAAUCUCAGCAAUAAUUCCUAAAGGAAUUUCAAGUUGCUUUCCAGCUUAAAAAAUUGUAAGAAUAUUUCUGGAAUAAUCGUCAUGUAAAUCCCCGAGGGAAUUACCGUCGACUCUCCACAUGUCGAUGUUCUACAUCUCGAUAUCUCUCCCUCUCUCGAUGGUUUGGUCGGUCCCUUCAAUCUGCAUACAUUUUACUUUUCUACAUAUCGAUAUCUCCUUAUCUCGAUAUCUCUCUAUCUCGAUGCGAUCUCGUUCGUUUUUGUUCUAGAUUUUCUCUCCUUAUGUCGAUAUGCCCCUUUUUACAGGUUGCUAGAUCGCGUUUCUUAGGUGCAAAACAUUCUCGGUAGGCGAAGUGACAUCUGUUUGUUGAUGGUUUUUCCUAGUAACGGACGAUUUUUCAAUCUAGUGUGCAUUAUGAAUUGGUUCUUAAAUUCGAUCUCUCCCUAUCUCGAUGGUCCUUUCAAUAUCGAGAUGUAGAGAGUCAACUGUAAAACGAGAUUUUUUUUUAAAAGAAUCACAAUUGUAACCACUAGCAUGGCCAGAUGUUCUUUUUUACUCGUUCUUCAGGAACAAACAAGAGAACAAGAAUCAUGGAAGAGAUGGAACUUGCUCUCACUUCUAUUCCUCUGUUUCUCAUGAUUAUAGAAGUGAAUGAAUGAGAAAUAAAAAAAAAUAAGCCGGAUCUAUUGGGUGCCCAGGACCGAAAGUAGUAAGUAAGUAGUGACUGUAAUUGAGUGGAGUAUUGCAGCAAUAAUUUCUGCAAAAAUCAUAGGAAUUUCUCCAAGCAUACUUCAGGAUGGCUUUUUAGGAUUUCACCCCCAAGUUGAGAUGCAGUCGCUGUUCCACUUGGAGCGUUAAUCCAGUACGAAGCAAAAGCAGAAUGAGAUGUAUUCCAUCACAAAGAACAACUUUGUAGAACACUCGAAAAAUCCUAAAAAUCUAUAGAAAAAGUUAUAUCCGAAAACCUAUUACAAGGGGUCGUCCACAAACAAUGACACAUAACUCUUAAAGUUGAGCAAAUGAGGUAAUAGUUUGUUCGGCAAACUUUCCAAUAAUACCCUUUUCUGCAACUUUGUAGAAGAUACCAAUACUCUAUCUUUAGUUUUGAGAAAAGUGAAUUCCUAUCGCACUUUUAGGUGGAUUAAUCAUCUAGGUGAAAAUUUUAAAAUAAAGAAUUAAGUAUAUAGAACAAACUCUUCUAAGACAUCAUACCUCUAAAUUCAAUAUUUGAAGCCGCAAAAAAAGAUUAUGAAUGCGAACCUUAGUAAACAGUAUGUAGCAGGUUCCUCCGGAGAUUAUGUCCGGAAACCUGAACGUCCGGAACUGGUUCCGUAGCGGUGGCAUGCACAUAGCACAGAGCGAUCAUUUUAUGGCCAAAUACAUUUUACAAUACAAAUUUCAGAAUGAUAAUAUGUGUGAUAUUCAAUAAAAUUGCCGAAAAAUACCCCCGUGGCAAGGCAUUUCUUAAUACCCAGAAAGAAGGAAGGGGUCAGGGGGGAUGCCACACCCAGAUAUUGGAAGACCAACUGACCGCAUUUAAUUUAAAAUUGGUUUCAAUUUUUUUGAUUGUAUAGUCUUUGAGUAGUAGCCGAUUGAAAAAAAGUGGUUCGUCUAGGGCUUUUGAGGGUUAAGCCAAAAUGAGGCUUUAAAGCGGUUUGUUCAUCUAUUAUACAGCAAUAAUGUUUGUUGGGCAAUUCCUUUGGGGAUUUCUUUGACCAUUUCAGCAGAAUUUCCUCAACCAUUCUUCUGUAAAAUCCUUAAAUAAUUGAUUUAGAAUUUUUUUGCGAUACUUUCUUAGGAUACUUUUUUGGCAACUUUUAUGAAAAUUUUUGGGUCAUUCAUUUAGAAACUCAGGCAAUUGUGUUAGAAAUUUCUACUACAAUUUCUUCCGCGGAUACCUCCGUUGUUCUUUUGGGAAUUCAUUAGGUCCUUUUUUUUU